rnacentral:tRNA from 1 species
GGGCAAUUAGCUCAGUUGGUAGAGCAGCUGACUCUUAAUCAGCGGGUCACAGGUUCGAGCCCUGUAUUGCCCACCA